rnacentral:lncRNA from 1 species
AGGGCCCGCAGCUUCCGGCACUGGAAGAGCUCCGGAGGGAGCGUCUCGAUCUGGAGGGAAAAAAGCAGGGAUGGGGUAACUGAGGCCCAAAGACGCUGACUUGUCCAGAGGUUCAGCUGGAAUCUCCACCUGGAUGUGAGGCCCAGGAAAACCUGCAGGUCCCCAGGACGGGUGGAAGAGGGACGUUCCCCACAAUGGCAGUGGCUUUGUUUCCAUUUCGGAGGCCAGACCACAGAGCCACAGGAGUACCCAGCCCUCCAUCCACACUGCCUGCCUCCACCAAGGGGCCCUUGGAUGGGGGCUUCCCCAGCCAGAAGGGCAGGCAGAAACAAACUAGCCCCAUCUAGGCCCAACUCUGCCUCUGACACCACCAAAUGCAGUGGAGAAAGGUGUGUGGGAGCUGCAGAGACCAUCCAAGGCUUCCCCUCAGCCAGCACUGGCCACCCACACAGUUUCUGUCCUGGGUGGACCCGGAUUGGCUCCUUGCCUCCAAGUCCGACUGGGAACAAGCUGAGGAAGACACAAACUCCAGGCUAAGUCUUGACUCCCACCACCCGGCUUUGCGAGAGAACCCCCGGGUUUGGACCUCCUGCCCAAGCACAUCCCUGCUGAAGAGGAACCCGGCUCAAGGUCACCUUGGGGGACAGACCUUGCCUGGCCAUGCAGUCUCUCCAGGCAGGAGAACUGCAACAUUUUGGAGCAAAGACAGGCCCGGGGCCCAGAGAUUCGGAUUCAGCAGGCCUGGGAUGGGGCCCAAGGAGUCUGUCUCUUGAACAGAGCUUCUAUCCUGGAUGGUUCUGUAAACCCCAGGUGAGGACUCCACACUCAGGGGCAUCGACGGUCCCAGGACACUGAGCCUGCCGAGUGCCCCACCACAAGCCCUGGCCAGGCCACCCGCCAGCCCACACGCAGAGCUGUGGCCGGGCCACUCACCCGGUUG